GUGCCAUUGACCUCACAAAGAAAUCUUUAACGCGAUGUGCUUUUUUCUUCAAGCAGUCCCACUGGCAGAUCAUCUUGAUGCAGUGUGCAACAUCAACCCGAACAAAACAAGGUGGCACUUUUGCAGACUGAUUACCAACAUUUGCACGACUGGGACACUUGAGCUCUCAUUACCUGCCAGAACGCCCUGAUAUAAGAAGACAUGGCCAGAUGUGCCAUUUGGUCUCUGUAGUUUCCUCACUACUGAGCCAGUUGCAUCAAAACUCACAGUGGGGGUGGCCAAAUUAGGCAGAUGGCUUGGCUCAGGAUCUCCAAAAUCCAUCAGCUUUGUUGCCUCCGAUGCCCUCCAUACAUGGGGUUCCAUUCUACCCUCACACAGUUCUUUGGAUAUCUGCACACGCACGUUACCAGACAUCGGACGCUUGGAACAGCCAGUGUGCAGGGAGUCAUCUGUGUUCUUAAUGAAACACUUUAGCACCAUUGGGCUGUUCAUUUCAGGCUCUCUGUCACAUUUUAUGUGAAUGUGGCCAUGACACUCCUUACACUUGCCUCUGAUUU